UACGUAGGGGGCGAGCGUUGUCCAGAUUUAUUGGGCGUAAAGCGCGUGCAGGCGGUUCGUUAAGUCCGUUGUGAAAGCUCCUGGCUCAACUGGGAGAGGUCUUCGGAUACUGGCGAACUCGAGGGAGGCAGAGGAAGGUGGUAUUCCGGGUGUAGUGGUGAAAUGCGUAGAGAUCCGGAGGAACACCAGUGGCGAAGGCGGCCUUCUGGGCCUUCCCUGACGCUGAGACGCGAAAGCGUGGGGAGCGAACCGG
rnacentral:rRNA from 1 species